GGGCGGUCGUGCAUUCCGCAGCAACGACGGUUGGGCACAUCCCGUCUCAUCCCCACUCUCUCGAAUUGUGUCCGUUGGUAGCCGAAGUUACGAUUGCAAAACUUUCGUCAUCUCUCUCUCACUCUCUGAAGCAAAAGCCAAGGCCGGAGCAGGUGCAUAUGGUGCCAACCCCCCUGGCCCCCCCAAAAGGGGGGUGGUGCUGGUGCAAUUGCAAAGGCACAGGAGCACAGGAGCAGCUAAAUAAACAAGAAAGCAAAAUCAACAACCGCAAAAGUCUAAGACAUGUAUCACGAAUUGAAAAUGAUAAUGACAAAAUGAGAAAAAACAAAUAUCAGACCAAAGUUAUAUCAAUGCAAACAAAAAAAUCUAAAAAAUACACAUAAAAUACACUAAAAAAAGAGAAGACUUACUUAAAUGUGACCUAGUAGAUAAAAUCAUCAUCGUGUUAUCAGGACGACCGCAAAAAAUCUCUGAAAAUCGUACAAAAAAAUAUUAAAACCUCAAAAUGCAUUGGUGUGUGUGUCCCGUUCGUGUAAUCGCUGGCGCGCCACGCCCCCCGCCCCUCCCACUGUCACGCGCUCGCCACGCCCCCCAGUUGCCGCCCCAUUAGCAGCGGGCAGAUGGACAACGUGUGGGUGGCCCACAAGGACAUCUAGUAACACGACGCCCAACAGCAGCCGCAAGGUCUGAUACGCCGCCCGCCACGCCCAUCGUGUUUGGGCGGCAGAGGAAGCGGUCCGGAAGCGGAAACGGAAACGGAAACGGGCGAGCAAAAUGGUGGCGCGGUAUCGCGGGCAAGGCGACGGCGCGUCCACAAAAAAUAACCAUAGAGACGUUUAAGGCAAAUUCUAAAUGAACAAAAGUAUAAACCAAAAACAAUUGUAACGAGAAAACAAACGAAUUCAAAAAUGAGCAAUAUGAGCAACAACUAAUAAUGGCAAAAAGCAAAAACGACAACUGCAAAUUACGACACAACACCUUCGAAAAGACCUCAGUAAUAAUAAAAACAACAACAAAAACACGUGAAUGCUUGGUGGCUGCAAAGGAAUGCCUUCGUCGUAUCGCCCUUUUUUGGAC
ensembl:ncRNA lncRNA:noe long non-coding RNA:noe